rnacentral:rRNA from 1 species
GAUGAACGCUGGCGGCGUGCUUAACACAUGCAAGUCGAGCGAGUGAGUUCUUCGGAACGAUCUAGCGGCGGACGGGUGAGUAACACGUGGGCAACCUGCCUCAUAGAGGGGAAUAGCCUCCCGAAAGGGAGAUUAAUACCGCAUAAAAUUAUCGAGUGGCAUCACAUGAUAAUCAAAGGAGUAAUCCGCUAUGAGAUGGGCCCGCGGCGCAUUAGCUAGUUGGUGAGGUAACGGCUCACCAAGGCGACGAUGCGUAGCCGACCUGGGAGGGUGAUCGGCCACAUUGGGACUGAGACACGGCCCAGACUCCUACGGGAGGCAGCAGUGGGGAAUAUUGCACAAUGGGGGAAACCCUGAUGCAGCAACGCCGCGUGAGUGAUGAAGGUCUUCGGAUUGUAAAGCUCUGUCUUUGGGGACGAUAAUGACGGUACCCAAGGAGGAAGCCACGGCUAACUACGUGCCAGCAGCCGCCGCAG